AAUCUAAUUCUUUUCUCGCCAGUCUCUUUCUGCUAACCCUGUCUCUGCAAAAUUCUCUUCUUCUUCGCCUAACUCUCAACAAAUCUUUGAUCUUUAUUUUUAAAAUUUUUAAUGUUUCGUCCUCUGAGUUGUGUCAUCUGGAAUAGAGAACACACUAGAAAACAUACCCAAUUCCUCCACCAAAAUAGGAAACCCAAAAAAAUCAAUGAGGGAGAAGAAAUUCAAUAAAUCUGAUUAAAAUUGGAUAUUUGGGUGAAUAUCUUUUGAGAUGGGUGAAUUCCCAGGAAAUUGAAGUAGUAAUCCGAAAGAGAGAUGGGUAAAUUCGCAGGAAAUUGAAUAGUAAUGCAUGUCUGAGUCGUAACGGAAAGCAAUCCAACACCACUACCACUAAUUGCAGGGUCUGACAAGAAGAGAAGAGACAUUCCUGAGACUGUAAUGUUUGUAACAUUGAUUCUGAAAAUCUCACGAAUUUGAUAACCCAUUGUACUAUUAGGAUACGAAUCUGAGAUGGGUUUGUUCAAGAAAUUGGAUAAGAAGAUACUGUUGCUUCCAUAGUUUUGAGAGUGUGCAGCUAGAAGAGGUGAGACUGCUGAUGGUGGAUAAGCAGGUGGUGAUUUACAGAAGAAAGAUGGUGUUGUAGCUGCUGUUGAAGUAAUUAUUAUUAGGGAAGAAGAGUUGAGACAUAACUGGGAAUGUAUGAUGCCAGAACAAACUGAAACUCACAGGCAUAUCAUGCUAAUGGGUCUGACAUGUGAAUUGGACUUAGCAUGAAUUUGCCAGAGAUGGAUGUAGAGUUUGAAUGAUCUAAAUUUGUAUUUUUUGGUUAAAUCUCUAAAUGAUAUAGAGAAAGCUCCCAUGGUUAAGAUGCUACUAUUGCACCAGUGUCAGAUGAUGGAUUUCAUGUCAUGUAACGAAGUUACCAGCGAUCUUCCCCUCCUGGAAGAAAAUGUAAGGACUCCAAACUAUGAUUAUCUUUUCAGAAUUUGGAUUUGUGCACGUCAUAUUGCUCAAUAGGUUCCAGUGGGACUGAAUGUGUGGAUUUCUUAAAUCUACUUACAAAUUUAUGGUCAAGUCCCUUAAUCGAGACACCCUGGCAAUGAGUAAUUUUGUGGUUUGCACCCCUUCCAAUCAGUGUAUUUCUUAAAUCUACUUACAAAUUUAUGGUCAAGUCCCUUAAUCGAGACACCCUGACAAUGAGUAAUUUUGUGGUUUGCACCCCUUCCAAUCACUAAAUUUUGGACAUUUGCAUUCAUUGUUCUUUUUAUUUCUGGCUAUUUUCUUAUUUAUACAUCGCUUUUUGCUUGCAGCCACUGUAAGUACUUAAUGAUCAGUGCAUUCAUUGUAAUGGUUUUUCCUAUUGCGUUUUACGAUAUCAUGUAUUUUUAAUAUAAUUGAUUUAUGGGGUUAGUUUACCGAAGACUGAUUUUUCUUUUGAAUUUGAUCUACAUGAAUGUCUAGAAAGUAGAUAUACUGUUGCUUGAAUAAUGAGUAGGUGUAAGUUCGGCAACAGGUACCUCGAGAAGCUUAUCAGGUUAUGAGCGAUCCAGCGCUAGAAAAACUUGAAUUUGAAGUUUUGUAUAUCUAGGUCUUUUAUAGGGUCAAAGAUUGAUGCAGUGAAACGAUUAGAAACUCUAGAUGUUUGAAAAUCUGUUUUGGUUCCUGUGGUUUGUGUGCUUGCUGUUUGCCGGAGAUUCAGGAGGCAAGGUUUAAUCAAAAAUAGGAUGUGGAGAUGUUACAUUCAACUAUUCAAGAGAUGGUUCCUGCGGUUUGUGUGCUUGCUGUUUGCCGGAGAUUCAGGAGGCAAGGUUUAAUCAAAAAUACGGUGCAGAGAUGUUACAUUCAACUAUUCAAGAUAUUAAAAAUGGGCUUCCUCGAUGCAACAGAUUUACCAAGAGCAAAGCUUAGUGAUUUCACAGAAGGCAGACUCACUUAUGUUUGAAGCAAGAACGGGAUGAUAGAGCGAAGGGUAUGUGAAAGAAUUCUGAUGAGGAAUGGAUUGCAGAAUGGAAGCUGCUUAUCAAUAGCAUUUUAUGCUUGAAUGACAGGAAUGGAUUGCAGAAUUCUCAGACCACAGGGGGUUAUAUAUAUUAGAAGUUAGGUUCGAAUGGAAUUCGAGUUGUCCAGGGAGAAACGACUUGAUGUAGAACUGUUUUUGUACAGCGCAUAUAUCAUGUCAACGAUGAAUCAGAACAUCUAUAUAGUUUACUGGAGAACCAGUUAAGAAGCAAACAAUGAAACAUCAUUAGCCGCAACCCACACUGAGAAACAUUAAGAAAUCGAAGACUUCUGGGAGGGGUAGCAACGUGCAUUGAGCAACUCUGAUGAUGAAGACUAGGAGUCCAAUGAUUUUGUGAAGACUAUUCAAUGAAUUGGUUUGGCAGCAGUUAUUUGUUUUAAAAUUUAGGAUUCUUAUAAGAUUUUAUUCACAUUAUUUUAAAUUAUUUUUGAGUUAUAUUAUAUUGUUCAAUGGAUUUAUAUGUAAAUUAAAUCCAUAUGUAGGUUGGACUGAAAUUACACAUGUAUGAGUAUAACAUUCUUUAUGAGCAAAUAAGUUACUGCGGUAUUGGUUACUCUC